rnacentral:rRNA from 1 species
GGCUCAGGAUGAACGCUAGCUACAGGCUUAACACAUGCAAGUCGAGGGGAAACGACAUCGAAAGCUUGCUUUUGAUGGGCGUCGACCGGCGCACGGGUGAGUAACGCGUAUCCAACCUGCCCAUCACUUGGGGAUAACCUUGCGAAAGUAAGACUAAUACCCAAUGAUAUCUCUAGAAGACAUCUGAAAGAGAUUAAAGAUUUAUCGGUGAUGGAUGGGGAUGCGUCUGAUUAGCUUGUUGGCGGGGUAACGGCUCACCAAGGCGACGAUCAGUAGGGGUUCUGAGAGGAAGGUCCCCCACAUUGGAACUGAGACACGGUCCAAACUCCUACGGGAGGCAGCAGUGAGGAAUAUUGGUCAAUGGACGAGAGUCUGAACCAGCCAAGUAGCGUGCAGGAUGACGGCCCUAUGGGUUGUAAACUGCUUUUAUAAGGGAAUAAAGUGAGUCUCGUGAGACUUUUUGCAUGUACCUUAUGAAUAAGGACCGGCUAAUUCCGUGCCAGCAGCCGCGGUAAUACGGAAGGUCCGGGCGUUAUCCGGAUUUAUUGGGUUUAAAGGGAGCGUAGGCCGGAGAUUAAGCGUGUUGUGAAAUGUAGACGCUCAACGUCUGCACUGCAGCGCGAACUGGUUUCCUUGAGUACGCACAAAGUGGGCGGAAUUCGUGGUGUAGCGGUGAAAUGCUUAGAUAUCACGAAGAACUCCGAUUGCGAAGGCAGCUCACUGGAGCGCAACUGACGCUGAAGCUCGAAAGUGCGGGUAUCGAACAGGAUUAGAUACCCUGGUAGCCCGCACGGUAAACGAUGGAUGCCCGCUGUUGGUCUGAAUAGGUCAGCGGCCAAGCGAAAGCAUUAAGCAUCCCACCUGGGGAGUACGCCGGCAACGGUGAAACUCAAAGGAAUUGACGGAAG